rnacentral:sRNA from 1 species
AUUUGGAGGGACCCUACGAACCAGGAGUCAGGCGAGCCGAUCUGGGGCUGCAGGUGUUACCUCUGAUCUAGGCCGGGGGCUUCAGGGAUCCGAGCCGAGGGAGAAAGCCUUGGGGGCUUCAUCACACUUAUUUGGCUCGCGGGCUUGGGGCCAUCGGGUGGUCCUGUGUCAUCCCCAUUCCUCCUCUGCGAUUCCCCCGUCGCCCCCAAACAGCCCUGGGACUCCCCUGUCUUGCUCCUCGAGACCCUCCCCCAUCACCGUCCUCUGGGCACCCCAUCCUAUGACCCAGUCUCAGGCAUCUUCCGAAAUGCUCGAUGAUAGCCGCCCUCGGGCAUCUCCGCUGCGUCUGUUUGUAGCGCGCCUGGUGAUUCGGCUGCACCCCCGCACAGGAUGUUCCGCUGGGAGCGCUCCAUUCCCCUGCGAGGCUCGGCCGCCGCCCUGUGCAACAACCUCAGUGUGCUGCAGCUGCCGGCUCGCAACCUCACGUAUUUUGGCGUGGUUCAUGGACCAAGCGCCCAGCUUCUCAGCGCUGCUCCUGAGGGUGUGCCCUUGGCCCAGCGCCAGCUCCACGCUAAGGAGGGUGCUGGAGUGAGUCCCCCACUUAUCACUCAGGUCCACUGGUGUGUCCUCCCCUUCCGAGUGCUGCUGGUACUCACCUCACAUCGAGGAAUACAGAUGUACGAGUCCAAUGGCUACACCAUGGUCUACUGGCAUGCACUGGACUCUGGAGAUGCCUCCCCAGUACAGGCUGUGUUUGCCCGGGGAAUUGCUGCCAGUGGCCACUUCAUCUGUGUGGGAACGUGGUCAGGCCGGGUGCUGGUGUUUGACAUCCCAGCAAAGGGUCCCAACAUUGUACUGAGCGAGGAGCUGGCUGGGCACCAGAUGCCAAUCACAGACAUUGCCACCGAGCCUGCCCAGGGACAGGAUUGUGUGGCUGACAUGGUGACGGCAGAUGACUCAGGCUUGCUGUGUAUCUGGCGGUCAGGGCCAGAAUUCACAUUAUUGACCCGCAUUCCAGGAUUUGGG